rnacentral:rRNA from 1 species
AGAGUUUGAUCCUGGCUCAGGAUGAACGCUAGCGGGAGGCCUAACACAUGCAAGUCGAACGGGAUUGAGAGCUUGCUCUCAUGAGAGUGGCGCACGGGUGAGUAACGCGUAUGCAACCUACCUAUAACUGAGGGAUAGCCCAUAGAAAUGUGGAUUAAUACCUCAUAGUUCUUUUGUUCCGCAUGGGAUGAAAGAUAAAGCUCCGGCGGUUAUAGAUGGGCAUGCGUGACAUUAGCUAGUUGGUAAGGUAACGGCUUACCAAGGCUACGAUGUCUAGGGGUUCUGAGAGGAUGAUCCCCCACACUGGUACUGAGACACGGACCAGACUCCUACGGGAGGCAGCAGUGAGGAAUAUUGGUCAAUGGGCGCAAGCCUGAACCAGCCAUCCCGCGUGCAGGAUGAAGGCCCUAUGGGUC